rnacentral:rRNA from 1 species
UACAGAGGGUGCGAGCGUUGUUCGGAAUUAUUGGGCGUAAAGCGCAUGUAGGUGGCCUGUUAAGUCGCGUGUGAAAGCUCCAGGCUCAACCUGGAAAGUGCGCGCGAAACUGGCGGGCUUGAGUGCCGGAGAGGGUGGCGGAAUUCCCGGUGUAGAGGUGAAAUUCGUAGAUAUCGGGAGGAACACCAGAGGCGAAGGCGGCCACCUGGACGGACACUGACACUGAGACGCGAAAGCGUGGGGAGCAAACAGG